CCUUUCUAAGGAUGAUCAAGAAUUGGAACUCUUUAUCUUCAUAAAGAAUAUUCCUUUUUGAUCUCAUUAGACAUACAGGUCUUAAACAAUUUCGUUUAAGCCUUUGCAUAUGACACCAUUCUUUAUGAACUCCCUCUUAAAAGAGAGAUGCCUCUUUGAUAAAAAGAGAACCUCACCUUGAUGAGUGUGUUCUAUAAAGAUGCAAAUGUUCAUAUGUUCAGUUAUACAAGCAGACUAGCCGUCUUCGUUUCUCUUUCUUCAGAUGAUGAUCCCAAGCCUUCUGGCGAUCUCUUAAACGUCAAAGUGCCCUCAUUUUUAAGGGUGCUUUAAGGAUAAAGGGCUGUAAAGCGCUCUUAUGUAAGAAUAUGCCGGGGAAGGUUUUCCGGUUUAUCCCGGAGGGCUUGUAGCUCAGUUGGUUAGAGCGCGCGCUUGAUAAGCGUGAGGUCGGAGGUUCAAGUCCUCCCAGGCCCACCAAUUUACCAUCCAUUAAAGAGUGUUUGUCAAAAGCCUUUUUUUGAAAAUGUGGCGCUUAUCUGUUUCGCUUAAAAGAGCAAGACUUAAAUGAAGUUCAAAGACAAGAAGAUCUUUGUUAAACUGGUUUUAAUUUAAAAAGUUUGGAAUGGGUUAUGCUAUUUUAGGGGCCGUAGCUCAGCUGGGAGAGCACCUGCUUUGCAAGCAGGGGGUCGUCGGUUCGAUCCCGUCCGGCUCCACCAUUUAGAUCAUCAUCAUUGUUGUGAGAACAUCGUUUUGUGAGAGGUCUUUAUGACUUUUCGCCUGUUCUAUUGAAAUUGUGAAGAGAAGAUAUAUUCAGACAUGAUUUUUUAUGCUCUGUCUUUUAAAAUAUUUUUAAAAGAUGAAGUUAUGAAAAGAAUGUGUCGCAAGGGAAUGCUCAAAGCCCUUGCCUAUGAUUGGAAGCUUAACCGCGCCACUGAGUAUAUCUCGAGAAGCUGGUCUUUUCUGCUGAUAUUUAUGCUUGUUUUGCGCUUUGUUUUGCACAAGACACAAGAGGAGCGGACAAGCAACAAAUGAUCAAGCAACUUUACAAGUAAGUGAUUACAGAGAGUGAAUGCUUAUUUGUGGUUUAAGUGAUUAUAGAA
rnacentral:tRNA from 1 species